UACAGAGGGUGCGAGCGUUGUUCGGAAUUAUUGGGCGUAAAGCGUGCGCAGGCGGUUUUGUAAGUCUGACGUGAAAUCCCCGGGCUUAACCUGGGAAUUGCGUUGGAGACUGCAAGGCUGGAGUCUGGCAGAGGGGGGUAGAAUUCCACGUGUAGCAGUGAAAUGCGUAGAGAUGUGGAGGAACACCGAUGGCGAAGGCAGCCCCCUGGGCUAGCACUGACGCUCAGGCACGAAAGCGUGGGGAGCAAACAGG
rnacentral:rRNA from 1 species